GUGACUGUGUCAGAUAAAUGAGUUAACUUUAAGCGUUAAUUAUGGGGGUUAACCCCCCGGUUACU
rnacentral:tRNA from 1 species